AGCGAACGCUGGCGGCAUGCCUAACACAUGCAAGUCGCACGGGGGGGCUUCGGCCUCCCAGUGGCGGACGGGUGAGGAACGCGUAGGGACCUGUCGAGGGGUGGGGGGUAACCGCGGGAAACUGCGGCUAAUACCGCAUGACGCCGCGGCGUGACAGCCGGGGCCAAAGGCGAAAGCCGCCCGCCGAGGGGCCUGCGUCCGAUUAGCUGGUUGGCGGGGUAGCGGCCCACCAAGGCGUCGAUCGGUAGCUGGUCUGAGAGGGUGAUCAGCCACACCGGGACUGAGACACGGCCCGGACUCCUACGGGAAGCAGCAGUGGGGAAUAUUGGACAAUGGGCGCAAGCCUGAUCCAGCAAUGCCGCGUGGGUGAAGAAGGUCUUCGGAUUGUAAAGCCCUUUCGGCGGGGACGAUGGUGACGGUACCCGCAGAAGAAGCCCCGGCUAACUUCGUG
rnacentral:rRNA from 1 species